rnacentral:rRNA from 1 species
AUUGAACGCUGGCGGCAUGCCUUACACAUGCAAGUCGAACGGCAGCACGGGCUUCGGUCUGGUGGCGAGUGGCGAACGGGUGAGUAAUGUAUCGGAACGUACCUUUCAGUGGGGGAUAACGUAGCGAAAGUUACGCUAAUACCGCAUAUUCUGUGAGCAGGAAAGCAGGGGAUCGCAAGACCUUGCGCUGAUUGAGCGGCCGAUAUCAGAUUAGCUAGUUGGUGAGGUAAAGGCUCACCAAGGCGACGAUCUGUAGCGGGUCUGAGAGGAUGAUCCGCCACACUGGAACUGAGACACGGUCCAGACUCCUACGGGAGGCAGCAGUGGGGAAUUUUGGACAAUGGGGGCAACCCUGAUCCAGCCAUGCCGCGUGAGUGAAGAAGGCCUUCGGGUUGUAAAGCUCUUUCGGCCGGGAAGAAAUCGUAUGGGUUAAUACCCUGUGCGGAUGACGGUACCGGCAUAAGAAGCACCGGCUAACUACGUGCCAGCCGCCGCAGUAACAC